AUUGAACGCUAGCGGGAUGCUUUACACAUGCAAGUCGAACGAGUGGCGGACGGGUGAGGAAUAUAUCGGAACGUGCCUAGUAGCGGGGGAUAACUAAGCGAAAGAGUGGCUAAUACUGCAUACUAUUGGAGCGGCCGAUAUCGGAGUAGCUAGUUGGUGGGGUAAAGGCUCACUAAGGCAACGAUCCGUAGCCGGUUUGAGAGGACGACCAGCCACACUGGGACUUAGACACGGCCCAGACUCCUACGGGAGGCAGCAGUGUGGAAUUUUGGGCAAUGGGGGAAACCCUGAUCCAGCCAUCCCGCGUGUAUGAGAAGGCCUUCGGUUUGUAAAGUACUUUUGGCAGAGAAGCGGUAUCUGCAGAAUAAGCACCGGCUAACUACGUGCCAGCAGCCGCGGUAAUAC
rnacentral:rRNA from 1 species